rnacentral:rRNA from 1 species
GACGAACGCUGGCGGCGUGCUUAACACAUGCAAGUCGAACGGAAAGGCCCUGCUUUUGUGGGGUGCUCGAGUGGCGAACGGGUGAGUAACACGUGAGUAACCUGCCCUUGACUUUGGGAUAACUUCAGGAAACUGGGGCUAAUACCGGAUAGGAGCUCCUGCUGCAUGGUGGGGGUUGGAAAGUUUCGGCGGUUGGGGAUGGAUUCGCGGCUUAUCAGCUUGUUGGUGGGGUAGUGGCUUACCAAGGCUUUGACGGGUAGCCGGCCUGAGAGGGUGACCGGCCACAUUGGGACUGAGAUACGGACCAGACUCCUACGGGAGGCAGCAGUGGGGAAUAUUGCACAAUGGGCGGAAGCCUGAUGCAGCAACGCCGCGUGCGGGAUGACGGCCUUCGGGUUGUAAACCGCUUUCGCCUGUGACGAAGCGUGCGUGACGGUAAUGGGUAAAGAAGCACCGGCUAACUACGUG